rnacentral:rRNA from 1 species
UAACGCGAAGAACCUUACCAGGGCUUGACAUGCACGGGAAUGUCAUAGAGAUAUGGCAGCCCUUCGGGGCUCGUGCACAGGUGUUGCAUGGCCGUCGUCAGCUCGUGUCGUGAGAUGUUGGGUUAAGUCCCGCAACGAGCGCAACCCCUGUCCUUAGUUGCCAGCGAGUAAUGUCGGGGACUCUAGGGAGACUGCCGGCGACAAGUCGGAGGAAGGUGGGGAUGACGUCAAGUCAUCAUGCCCCUUAUGUCCAGGGCUACACACGUGCUACAUUGGCACGUACAGAGGGCUGCGAUACCGCGAGGUGGAGCGAAUCCCCCAAAGCGUGUCUCGGUUCGGAUUGCAGGCUGAAACUCGCCUGCAUGAAGGCGGAGUUGCUAGUAAUCGCGGAUCAGCAUUGCCGCGGUGAAUACGUUCCCGGGUCUUGUACACACCGA